AGCAGCCGCGGUAAUUCCAGCUCCAAUAGCGUAUAUUAAAGUUGUUGCAGUUAAAAAGCUCGUAGUUGAAUUUCGGGAUCAAUAUGUUGGUCGUGCCUUGGUACGUACUGGCAUUAUCGAUUCCUACCUUCUGAAGAACCUCGAUGUCAUUAAUUUGGUGUCUUGGGGAAUCAGGACUGUUACUUUGAAAAAAUUAGAGUGUUUAAAGCAGGCUCGCGCUUGAAUACAUUAGCAUGGAAUAAUGAAAUAGGACGUUUGAUUCUAUUUUGUUGGUUUCUAGGAUCGACGUAAUGAUUAAUAGGGAUAGUUGGGGGCAUUAGUUUUCAAUUGUCAGAGGUGAAAUUCUUGGAUUUAUUGAAGACUAACUACUGCGAAAGCAUUUGCCAAGGAUGUUUUCAUUAAUCAAGAACGAAAGUUAGGGGAUCGAAGACGAUCAGAUACCGUCGUAGUCUUAAC
rnacentral:rRNA from 1 species